rnacentral:lncRNA from 1 species
UGAUGAAUCCUUUCUAGGUAAAUUUAUACUAAUGUUUAUAGAUAUACCUAGAUAUAUAUGAUUUAAUUUUACUACGAUUUUUAUCUUUCUAAAGUAGCAUUUUGUUUCUAAAGUUAGAUUAUUUAUCAAAAGGUGUGAAAAUAGGCUUAAUUGGAGUUUCUAAAGUUAAAGCUUGAUAUAUUACCAAAAUAUAAAGUCUGAAACUAACUUAUUCACUUGAUGUUGGUCAUUUUCGAUAAAUGAUCAAGUUUUAUAAAUUAAUUCUCAAACCUUGGCGCAGGUAAUGUUGCAC